GUUCAAAUUUCAUUGAAUUAGAGGUACAACAAUGGUAUCAAGAACACAAGUGCUUUCUGUUACUUAAACUUUGGGACAUUAAAACACAGACAAGGGAAGAUGAUUGGAUAGAAAGUGUUGCUCUAUUCAUUUACCUUCCAGUCUAUAAAA